GUAGGUGGCAAGCGUUGUCCGGAAUUAUUGGGCGUAAAGCGCACGCAGGCGGUUCUUUAAGUCUGAUGUGAAAGCCCACGGCUCAACCGUGGAGGGUCAUUGGAAACUGGAGAACUUGAGUACAGAAGAGGAAAGCGGAAUUCCACGUGUAGCGGUGAAAUGCGUAGAGAUGUGGAGGAACACCAGUGGCGAAGGCGGCUUUCUGGUCUGUAACUGACGCUGAGGCGCGAAAGCGUGGGGAGCAAACAGGGAUUAGAUACCCUGGUAGUCCACGCCGUAAACGAUGAGUGCUAAGUGUUAGGGGGGUUUCCGCCCCCUUAGUGCUGCAGCUAACGCAUUAAGCACUCCGCCUGGGGAUACGGCCGCAAGGCUG
rnacentral:rRNA from 1 species